CAUCUCAUUAUGAAAGCUCUUCCUGCCUAGGGAGAGACACUUUGUUCUCAAAACGCAUUAAAAAGAGUGGACAGAAUAGGGGAAGGAGGCCCAAGUUGAAAGGCACAGCCUGUCCCCCACCACAUCCCCCCUUCUCUGCACAGGCUUCUGGGGGCAGCACCGAAGGGCGACAGCAGUCAUUGUCAAAGCGUGGGUCUGACCUCCGGCCACAGUCACCUCCAUUUCUGUUUUUCUGCCCUUGCCCUCCUUCCUCUUUUCAUUUUCAUUUUCUUGCUUCCUAUUUCUCUCUUCCGCACACACCUUCAGUCUCCCUGAGAGUUCCCCAGGUAUUGCUUGGCCCCAUGGGGGUGUACUCAGUGCAGAAAAUACUUUGAUGUGUCCUCUCGAGGCCCAGCUGACCACCUCUGCCUCCCUCUUCAACCCACGCCCUGACCGCCCAGCCUCAGGCCUCCUGUGCUACCUUGACCUUGGCAAUCUGAUUCUGAGUGCUGGUGUUCCUGGUUUCUCCCCAUAUGGGACAUCGGCUGAGCCUGAUGUCCAGUCAACAGAUUCUGUUUCCAACACGGAAGGCGGUCCACCAGCAAGAGAUGAGUGA
rnacentral:lncRNA from 1 species